GGGAUUGUGGCUCAGUGGUAGAGCGCUCGCUUUGCACGGGCGGGACCUGGGUUCGAUUCUCAGCACCA
rnacentral:tRNA from 1 species